rnacentral:rRNA from 1 species
GACGAACGCUGGCGGCGUGCUUAACACAUGCAAGUCGAACGGAAAGGCCCUGCUAUUGUGGGGUGCUCGAGUGGCGAGCGGGUGAGUAACACGUGAGUAACCUGCCCUUGACUUUGGGAUAACUUCAGGAAACUGGGGCUAAUACCGGAUAGGAGCUCCUGCUGCAUGGUGGGGGUUGGAAAGUUUCGGCGGUUGGGGAUGGACUCGCGGCUUAUCAGCUUGUUGGUGGGGUAGUGGCUUACCAAGGCUUUGACGGGUAGCCGGCCUGAGAGGGUGACCGGCCACAUUGGGACUGAGAUACGGCCCAGACUCCUACGGGAGGCAGCAGUGGGGAAUAUUGCACAAUGGGCGGAAGCCUGAUGCAGCAACGCCGCGUGCGGGAUGACGGCCUUCGGGUUGUAAACCGCUUUCGCCUGUGACGAAGCGUGAGUGACGGUAAUGGGUAAAGAAGCACCGGCUAACUACGUG